CAAACAACUGGAUCCUUCUAGAGCUCGGAGGCCUGGCCCCUUCCUUCUUAGUGGUGUGAGCUUGGGAAGUGCGCCCCGGGUGUCAGGAGCCGCUGCAGGCCAGCCGUGUGGACUUGCAUUUCCUCCUCGUAAAACCCUACCAUUGGACUAUCGUCACAUACCCAUAGCGCGGAUGAGAGGGAGGAAGUCCAGAGAGGGUAGGGUGCCCUUUGGAGAAACAGUUUGCUGCUGAUACAUACAUUGAAAAAACGCAGAAAAAAGAAAAGGAAAAACCACAGGAUCAGCCGACCUCUAAAGCCCUCCUAGCAGUAAGGUUUGAUGAUGACCCUCCAUCUGGGGGCAGAUGGAGGGCGACUUGCUCAGGUUACUCCCGAAGUGGUGGGGGCAGGUGGGUGGGCAGCAGAUGCGCCGCUCCUGAUGCAGACCCUGAGGCCCGCCUACAGCCUCGGAAAACGCAACCCCUGCGCACCUGGAGUGUUGCUGGGUCUAUAGGACAGUGACCGUCUAUGGAGCGCUUGCUAGUACCUCACCUCAGUGACUCAUCCCCGAGAUUCACAGGGAGCCCUUUGCAGAUGGCUCCUGGGAAAAUGAUGAGGACGAGCUCUUACAUCUGGACCACUCUUUACAACUUGCAAAAUGCUCCCGUGUACCGAAUCCCACCCGAGCCUCACACAAGCCCAGAAGCCGCAGGUUUUAUUAUCCUGUUUAAAGACGAAGAAACCACUGCUAAAGAAGACCGUAAGCAGUUUGGGAGUCAGAAAGGAAGCAGAGGUUGGAGCCAUGUGAUUUGAAGAUGGUGGGUGGGGCUAUCAGCCAAGGAGUGUGUACAGCUUCUGGAAGCCAGAAAAGGCAAGGAAACGGAUUCUUACCUGGAGAGAAAGAAUACAACCCUGCUGACACCUUGAUAUUAGCCCCAUAAGAGUCAUUUUGGACUUAUGACCUCCAGAAUUAAUUGUAAGAUAAUACAUUCGUCUUAUUUUAAGCCGCUAAGCAUGUGGUAAUUUGUUACAGGAGUCAUAGACGAUUCAUCCAAAACCCAGGGGUGCUCAGAGGAUGCAGUGGUAGGUACGGGACUCAAAUGCAGUCCUUCUGUCCGCAGGAACUGUGCUCAGGCUCCCAACCACCACGUUGACCCAACAGCCGACCAGAGUCAGGAGUUGAAGGCAUCAAUGCCAUUGUCCUUAAGGAGAAGAAAUGACCCUGGUGGUGAGCCUAGGGGAAUUCUGCUGUUUUUAAAUGUCAGAAAUGUUAUGGGAAAGAGGAAUGUUUUUGGCUGGGCACAGCAGAGAGUUUCCAUAUUUUGAACCAACCCUAACUGAUGAGCACUGGAUGCCUGGAGCUCUGUGCUGAGCAGGAUCCUGAGGCCAAGCCCAGGCUCCCAGGGAAAUUGCUCUGUGCUUGACUGGCAAUGUCUGCCUUGGCCUUGCCAGGGCUGAGCAGCAGCGUAUGCUGAUCUGGAUUGGAUGAGUUGCCUGGAGCUGGCCCUGAGUUUGAUUCAUCUUUUUAUGCCCAGGGCCCAGCAGUGUGCCUAAAACAGAGCAAGCACUCAAUAAAUAUUUGAGGGAAGGAGGGAAAGAGGUCAGAAAGGAGAGAGAAAGUAGGGAGAGAAAUUUAUUUUCAGGGAGGCCAGGUCUAGGGCCAAUAGGUAGAAUCCCUGGCUGGAAAGCUUCUGAUUUGCCUCCCCAGCAUCUCUUACCUUCUUGUUCUGAUCACAGCAAUCCUUUCCUUUGGAGAUCCACCCCUCCCCCUCAUUCCAUUUGGUUAUGGCAGGACUGCCAAUCACAAGGUCCUGGGGCAGGCCUGUGACUAAACCCGGCAACCCAACUUUAGUUCCCAGAAUCUGAACCUUGAUGAGAGGCACUCGGGAGAGAGACUGGAGAGGUGGUCCCCAAACUCAGCCACGGAAGAGGAAGUGGUACAGUCCACUUCUGUGGGACUCCUGAGAUGGAGCUCAGACACUCCUAACCUUAAAGUCAUCUCUUUCAGAACCAACAGCCAAAGGUACAGAAACCACCGGGAAGAGAAGCAUCCUGGGGAGGUUCAGGCAGCUGAUCCUCCCUGCAUUCCAGCAGCCAGGCUGGUUGUGUGCCAGUAAACACUGCCACCCCCAUUUUUUUUCUGCUCAGUUAUUCAGAGUUCGUUUCUGUGGCUUGAAACCGAAGAACCCCAAUCAAUAUUAUAGUCUCUCUAGAAGGAGGAGCCAGCCAGUAAUCAGAACUGUUCAACUUUGGAGAAGCUCUCUAGUCGGGUGGGACUUGAGAGAAGAGG